UGCGGAAUAUUGGACAAUGGGCGAAAGCCUGAUCCAGCCAUGCCGCGUGUGUGAAGAAGGUCUUCGGAUUGUAAAGCACUUUAAGUUGGGAGGAAGGGCAGUAAGCGAAUACCUUGCUGUUUUGACGUUACCGACAGAAUAAGCACCGGCUAACUCUGUGCCAGCAGCCGCGGUAAUACAGAGGGUGCAAGCGUUAAUCGGAAUUACUGGGCGUAAAGCGCGCGUAGGUGGUUCGUUAAGUUGAAUGUGAAAGCCCCGGGCUCAACCUGGGAACUGCAUCCAAAACUGGCGAGCUAGAGUAGGGCAGAGGGUGGUGGAAUUUCCUGUGUAGCGGUGAAAUGCGUAGAUAUAGGAAGGAACACCAGUGGCGAAGGCGACCACCUGGGCUCAUACUGACACUGAGGUGCGAAAGCGUGGGGAGCAAACAGG
rnacentral:rRNA from 1 species